ensembl:miRNA eca-mir-1302c-5 eca-mir-1302c-5
CAGUUAAAUUUGAAUUUCUGGGAAACAAUGAAUAAUUUUUUAGUGUAAGUAUAUCCCAUGCAAUAUUUGCGACAUACUUAUACUAAAAAUAAUGCUUGUUUGUUUGAAAUUCAGAUGUAACU